UACGUAGGGUGCGAGCGUUAAUCGGAAUUACUGGGCGUAAAGCGUGCGCAGGCGGUUCGUUGUGUCGGCGGUGAAAGCCCCGGGCUUAACCUGGGAAUGGCCGUUGAAACUGGCGAACUGGAGUGUGGCAGAGGGGGGUGGAAUUCCGGCGUGUAGCAGUGAAAUGCGUAGAGAUGUGGAGGAACACCGAUGGCGAAGGCAGCCCCCCUGGGGCUAACACUGACGCUCAUGCACGAAAGCGUGGGGAGCGAAACAGG
rnacentral:rRNA from 1 species